ensembl:lincRNA
GCUCCUAAACCCAGCAUGCAGCCCACCAUGGGGCUUGAACUCAUGACUCCGAGAUCAAGACCUGAGCUAUGAUCAAGGGUCAGACACUUAACCACCUGAGCCAUCCAAAAAUGUGGUAGUCUUAUUUUUAACCAAUAUGAUGAUCACAGUUGUUUCUCCUUUUCCUCUGGUGAAUGAUGAGGGCAGUGGAGAUGGCAAACAUCUUAUGAAGCCAGGUAAACUUUGGAGGACGUUUGUAUUCACCAAAGCCAUAAAGCUGAGGCAGAAAUGGCCUCCCUGGAUUUUCCUCAUUGUUUUGGGAGCAGUGAAAGGAGAACACGGGCUGAAGGAAAUGCUCUCAUGCAGAAUUACAGAGAUCCUUGGUCCGAAGAGCUAUUGCAGCACCGGGGCGGACAGCAGAGAAGAUCCAGCUUUGAACGAACUGUCUGAUGUAGCAGAAAAGCAAAUGACUUGGCAGCAGUCACUUCAAUGACAGUCACUUUUACUGCCUUUUGUUUUGUCACUUUUUAUCUGAUGAACGAAGACCUUUAGUUUUAGAAAGGGUUGGUUUAGUAUGCAGUGUCUUACACAAUGCCUACCACACAUAUAGUAGGUAGCUAGUGAAUGAUUUUGUAUUUGUAUUCUUUUGAAAAGUCUUUUCUCGGUGUCUUUUUUUGGCUUUAACUUCAUUUUUUUUUUUCAAGUUAAAUCUAGUUUGACACAAUUUUAUAGACAACCAAGAUUCCUAAGCUACUCAUUAGUUGCACUUAGGUAUUUUCCAACUUUGCUUGUUGACAAGUUGUUGACAUUGGGACUAACUAUAGAAGUGAGCACAUCACCCAGAAAUUUAUUAAGAUGCUUAUUAUUCUUUUAUUUUUUUAAGGAUUUUAUUUACUUAUUUGACAGAGAGAGAUCACAAGUAGGCAGAGAGGCAGGCAGAGAGAGAGGAGGAAGCAGGCUCCCUGCCUAGCAGAGAGCCUGGGGAUGCGGGGCUCAAUCCCAGGACCUGGGAUCAUGACCUGAGCUGAAUGCAGAGGUUUAACCCACUGAGCCACCCAGGCGCCCCGAUGCUUAUUGUUCUUAUGGUUUCAUAUAAAGAAAUGAAACCAAACAAACUCCAAAACUCAUAGCCUGGCUUGUGUACAUCUCUGGAAUAAGAAAGUAUUUCUGUUAUUUAUUUCAAUUCUUAGAGUAAAACUGACUUUUUGAGAAUCUGUUUACUAUUCAUUUUGGAUAAGUUAUAAAAACUCAGAAUAUAAAUAUAUUUGACUUAAAAUUACUACCUACUAUCAAUUUCUCUCAUACAAGACAGUUUCAUUUGUAUUAAGUGCUUGAAAUUGAUAAUUAUAUACAUGGAUAUUUAAUUAAUUGAAAAACUGAUUAUUGAGGCUUUCCUAUUUAUUUUGAAAAACAAAUUUAUUCCAAGUAUUUAAAUGUGUUGAAACAUGAAUCUUCUCAGGCCGUUGCUAGAAUAUUACAGACAAAAUAAUACUGUUACUUGCUUGAAAAAUCUUGUUCUUGCUAUAAGAACAAUCAAACAGAAUUGCCAGAAGAAAUAAAAUAUUUAGAAUCAUCUUAUAUUGAAAUGUGUCUUCUACAGUUCCAACUAAUAUUAAAUUAUAAGUCACUAAGACUAUACUUAUCAUGGCAAGCAUUGAGUAGUGCAUAGAAUUUUAAAAUCAAUAUGCUGUAUACCUAAAACUAAUAUAACAUUGUAUGCCAAUUAUUCUUCCAUAAGAAAAGAAAUUAAAAAAUUAAAAAUCACCAAAUCCAAGUAUGUUUUUUAUUGUACUGUUUAAACUGCAGAUUUUAAAUUAUGAUAAGAAUUAUCAUAGAAGGAAAUAGAACUUUAUUUCUGAAAAUAUCAUAUAUAGUACUUUUUUUUUGGUGAGACAGCAGAGUCUCACAGCAGAGUGGAAAAUAUUUUCAAAAUUAAUACUUUCCCUUUAAAAAUAAUUUCUCAUCAUUAACUUUAAGAAUUUCUGUGUCUUAUUUUGUUCAUGUAUUAAAAUUGCUUGUCAUUCACUUUGUUGUAGAGAGAAAAGAUAAAAGGGCAAUUUUAAACAUGAUUG